GUAGGUACUGAGUGGCGAACGGGUGAGUAACACGUGGGUGAUCUGCCCUGCACUCUGGGAUAAGCCUGGGAAACUGGGUCUAAUACCGGAUAGGACCGCACUUUAGUGUGUGUGGUGGAAAGUUUUUUCGGUGUAGGAUGAGCCCGCGGCCUAUCAGCUUGUUGGUGGGGUAAUGGCCUACCAAGGCGGCGACGGGUAGCCGGACUGAGAGGUUGGUCGGCCACAUUGGGACUGAGAUACGGCCCAG
rnacentral:rRNA from 1 species